GGGUGCGAUCAUACCAGCACUAAUGCACAUAAUCGCAUCAAAACUUCGUAGGUAAGCGAGCUUGGGCGAGAGUAGUACUAGGAUGGGUGACCUCUUAGGAAGUCCUUGUGUUGCACCAU
rnacentral:rRNA from 1 species